rnacentral:rRNA from 1 species
AUACGGAGGAUGCAAGCGUUAUCCGGAUUUAUUGGGUUUAAAGGGUGCGUAGGCGGUUUGCUAAGCGGGAGGUGAAAUGCCGGCGCUCAACGUCGGAAGUGCCUCCCGAACUGGUGGACUGGAAUGACUCUGCCGUGGGAGGAAUGUGUAGUGUAACGGUGAAAUGCUUAGAGAUUACACAGAACACCGAUUGCGAAGGCAUCUCACGAAGGGUUGAUUGACGCUGAGGCACGAAAGCGUGGGGAUCAAACAGGAUUAGAUACCCUGGUAGUCCACGCAGUAAACGAUGAUGGCUAACCGCUGGUUUAUUCGGAUCAGUGGCCAAGCGAAAGCGAUAAGCCAUCCACCUGGGGAGUACGACCGCAAGGUUGAAACUCAAAGGAAUUGGCGGGG